rnacentral:tRNA from 1 species
GGCUCCAAGGAGGACUUGAAUGAGCCGAGUGGAGU